rnacentral:rRNA from 1 species
GACAGAGGGUGCAAACGUUGUUCGGAAUCACUGGGCAUAAAGCGCACGUAGGCGGUCCGCUAAGUCGGGUGUGAAAUCCCUCGGCUCAACCGAGGAAUUGCACCCGAUACUGGCGGGCUCGAGGGUGGUAGGGGUGAGUGGAACUCCAGGUGGAGCGGUGAAAUGCGUAGAUAUCGGGAGGAACACCUGAGGCGAAGGCGGGCUACUGGGCCGAUACUGACGCUGAUGUGCGAAAGCCAGGGGAGCGAACGGG